CAGUCGCCGCGGGAAUACGUAGGUGGCAAGCGUUGUCCGGAAUUAUUGGGCGUAAAGGGCCCGCAGGCGGUUUCUUAAGUCUGAUGUGAAAGCCCCCGGCUCAACCGGGGAGGGUCAUUGGAAACUGGGAAACUUGAGUGCAGAAGAGGAGAGUGGAAUUCCACGUGUAGCGGUGAAAUGCGUAGAGAUGUGGAGGAACACCAGUGGCGAAGGCGACUCUCUGGUCUGUAACUGACGCUGAGGAGCGAAAGCGUGGGGAGCGAACAGGAUUAGAUACCCCGGUAGUCCCUGUCUCUUAUAC
rnacentral:rRNA from 1 species